rnacentral:rRNA from 1 species
CCUACGGGGGGCAGCAGUGGGGAAUAUUGGACAAUGGGGGGAACCCUGAUCCAGCCAUGCCGCGUGUGUGAAGAAGGCCCUCGGGUUGUAAAGCACUUUCAGUGAGGAAGAACGCCUGGUGGUUAAUACCCAUCAGGAAAGACAUCACUCACAGAAGAAGCACCGGCUAACUCCGUGCCAGCAGCCGCGGUAAUACGGAGGGUGCGAGCGUUAAUCGGAAUUACUGGGCGUAAAGCGCGCGUAGGUGGCUUGAUAAGCCGGUUGUGAAAGCCCCGGGCUCAACCUGGGAACGGCAUCCGGAACUGUCAAGCUAGAGUGCAGGAGAGGAAGGUAGAAUUCCCGGUGUAGCGGUGAAAUGCAUAGAGAUCGGGAGGAAUACCAGUGGCGAAGGCGGCCUUCUGGACUGACACUGACACUGAGGUGCGAAAGCGUGGGUAGCAAACAGGAUUAGAUACCCCAGUAGUC